GAUGAACGCUAGCGGCAGGCUUAACACAUGCAAGUCGAGGGGUAACAGGGAUUGCUUGCAAUCCGCUGACGACCGGCGCACGGGUGCGUAACGCGUAUAGAACCUACCUUUUACUGAGGGAUAGCCUUUAGAAAUGAAGAUUAAUACCUCAUGGUAUUGAAUUUUGGCAUCAGAAUUUAAUUAAAGAUUUAUUGGUAAAAGAUGGCUAUGCGUCCUAUUAGCUAGAUGGUAAGGUAACGGCUUACCAUGGCAACGAUAGGUAGGGGUCCUGAGAGGGAGAUCCCCCACACUGGUACUGAGACACGGACCAG
rnacentral:rRNA from 1 species